AAGUCGUAACAAGGUUUCCGUAGGUGAACCUGCGGAAGGAUCAUUAACACGUAUCGGGUAAAAAAACCGAACAACUGUUAACAAUGGAUAUCUUGGUUCUC
rnacentral:misc_RNA from 1 species